rnacentral:rRNA from 1 species
AGUGGCAGACGGGUGAGUAACAUGUAGGUAUCUGCCCUUUGGCCUGGAAUAACACGAGGAAACUUGUGCUAAUACCGGAUAAGUCUUUACGGAGAAAGCUUUAUGCACCAUUGGAUGAGCCUGCACUUGAUUAGUUUGUUGGUGGGGUAAUGGCCUACCAAGACUGUGAUCAAUAGCUGAUUUGAGAGGAUGAUCAGCCACAUUGGGACUGAGACACGGCCCAAACUCCUACGGGAGGCAGCAGUGGGGAAUCUUGCACAAUGGAGGAAACUCUGAUGCAGCGAUGCCGCGUGAGUGAAGAAGGCCUUUGGGUUGUAAAGCUCUUUCGUCGGGGAAGAAAAUGACUGUACCCGAAUAAGAAGGUCCGGCUAACUUCGUGCCAGCAGCCGCGGUAAUACGAAGGGACCUAGCGUAGUUCGGAAUUACUGGGCUUAAAGAGUUCGUAGGUGGUUGAAAAAGUUAGUGGUGAAAUCCCAGAGCUUAACUCUGGAACUGCCAUUAAAACUUUUCAGCUAGAGUAUGAUAGAGGAAAGCAGAAUUUCUAGUGUAGAGGUGAAAUUCGUAGAUAUUAGAAAGAAUACCAAUUGCGAAGGCAGCUUUCUGGAUCAUUACUGACACUGAGGAACGAAAGCAUGGGUAGCGAAGAGGAUUAGAUACCCUCGUAGUCCAUGCCGUAAACGAUGUGUGUUAGACGUUGGAAAUUUAUUUUCAGUGUCGCAGCGAAAGCGAUAAACACACCGCCUGGGGAGUAC